rnacentral:rRNA from 1 species
AACGAACGCUGGCGGCAGGCUUAACACAUGCAAGUCGAGCGCAUCCUUCGGGGUGAGCGGCAGACGGGUGAGUAACGCGUGGGAAUCUACCUUUUGCUACGGAAUAGCUCCGGGAAACUGGAAUUAAUACCGUAUGUGCCCUUAGGGGGAAAGAUUUAUCGGCAAGAGAUGAGCCCGCGUUGGAUUAGCUAGUUGGUGGGGUAAAGGCCUACCAAGGCGACGAUCCAUAGCUGGUCUGAGAGGAUGAUCAGCCACAUUGGGACUGAGACACGGCCCAAACUCCUACGGGAGGCAGCAGUGGGGAAUAUUGGACAAUGGGCGCAAGCCUGAUCCAGCUAUGCCGCGUGAGUGAUGAAGGCCUUAGGGUUGUAAAGCUCUUUCACCGGAGAAGAUAAUGACGGUAUCCGGAGAAGAAGCCCCGGCUAACUUCGUG